GAGGAUAUAGCUCAGUGGCAGAGUGCAUGCCUAGUAAGCAUGAGGCCCUGGGUUCAAUCCCCAGUACCUCCA
rnacentral:tRNA from 1 species